GCCCCCACCGCAACAGCGACGCUGGCGGAGGCCUAACACAUGACAGUCGAACGGAUCCUUCCGGAUUAUUGGCGGACGGGUGAGUAACACGUGGGAACGUGCCCUUUGGUUCGGAACAACUCAUGAAAACUUGAGCUAAUACCGGAUGUGCCCUUCGGGGGAAAGAUUUAUCGCCAUUGGAGCGGCCCGCGUCUGAUUAGCUAGUUGGUGAGGUAAAGGCUCACCAAGGCGACGAUCAGUAGCUGGUCUGAGAGGAUGAUCAGCCACAUUGGGACUGAGACACGGCCCAAACUCCUACGGGAGGCAGCAGUGGGGAAUCUUGCGCAAUGGGCGAAAGCCUGACGCAGCCAUGCCGCGUGAAUGAUGAAGGUCUUAGGAUUGUAAAAUUCUUUCACCGGGGACGAUAAUGACGGUACCCGGAGAAGAAGCCCCGGCUAACUUCGUGCCAGCAGCCGCGGUAAUACGAAGGGGGCUAGAGUUGCUCGGAAUUACUGGGCGUAAAGGGAGCGUAGGCGGAAUGUAUAGUCAGAGGUGAAAGCCCAGGGAUCAACCUUGGAAUUGCCUUUGAUACUGGCAGUCUAAGUACGGACGAGGCAUGUGGAACUCCGAGAGUAGAGGUAAAUUCGUAGAUUACGGAAGAAAACAUGGUGAUCG
rnacentral:rRNA from 1 species